CCUGGCUUAGAACGAACGCUGGCGGCGUGCUUAACACAUGCAAGUCGAACGCGAAAGGGACUUCGGUCCUGAGUAAAGUGGCGCACGGGUGAGUAACGCGUAGAUAACCUGUCUUCAUGUCCGGAAUAAUACGCCGAAAGGGGUACUAAUACCGGAUAUUCUUGCUUUUCAUAAGUUAUGCAAGCAAAGGUGGCCUCUGCAUAUGCUACUGCAUGAAGAGGGGUCUGCGUACCAUUAGCUAGUAGGUGGGGUAAUGGCCUACCUAGGCGACGAUGGUUAGCGGGUCUGAGAGGAUGAUCCGCCACACUGGCACUGGAACACGGGCCAGACUCCUACGGGAGGCAGCAGUGAGGAAUAUUGCGCAAUGGGGGAAACCCUGACGCAGCGACGCCGCGUGAGUGAGGAAAAGGCCUUCGGGUCGUAAAGCUCUGUCAAGAGGAAAGAAGUGUACAAUGGCUAAUACCUGUUGUAUUUGACGGUACCUCUAAAGGAAGCACCGGCUAACUCCGUGCCAGCAGCAGC
rnacentral:rRNA from 1 species